GCCAGACUCCUACGGGAGGCAGCAGUGGGGAAUAUUGCACAAUGGGGGAAACCCUGAUGCAGCGACGCCGCGUGAGUGAAGAAGUAUUUCGGUAUGUAAAGCUCUAUCAGCAGGGAAGAAGUUGACGGUACCUGAGUAAGAAGCCCCGGCUAACUACGUGCCAGCAGCCGCGGUAAUACGUAGGGGGCAAGCGUUAUCCGGAUUUACUGGGUGUAAAGGGAGCGUAGACGGCAGUGCAAGUCAGAAGUGAAAGCCCGGGGCUCAACUCCGGGACUGCUUUUGAAACUGUGUAACUGGAGUGCAGGAGAGGUAAGCGGAAUUCCUAGUGUAGCGGUGAAAUGCGUAGAUAUUAGGAGGAACACCAGUGGCGAAGGCGGCUUACUGGACUGUAACUGACGUUGAGGCUCGAAAGCGUGGGGAGCAAACAGGAUUAGAUACCCGGGUAC
rnacentral:rRNA from 1 species